rnacentral:rRNA from 1 species
CCUACGGGAGGCAGCAGUGAGGAAUAUUGGUCAAUGGGCGCGAGCCUGAACCAGCCAAGUCGCGUGAGGGAAGACGGCCCUACGGGUUGUAAACCUCUUUUGCCGGGAAGCAACGGGCGCCACGUGUGGCGCCACUGCGAUUACCCGCAACAAAACCAUCGGCUAAAUCCGUGCCAGAAGCCGAGGUAAUACGGAGGAUGCGGGUGUUAUCCGGAUUUUUUGGGUUUAAAGGGUGCGUAGGCGGAGCGUUAAGUCAGUGGUCAAAUUGAGGGGCUCAACCCCUUCCCGCCAUUGAAACUGGCGCUCUUGAGUGGAAGAGAAGUAGGCGGAAUGCGUGGUGUAGCGGUGAAAUGCAUAGAUAUCACGCAGAACCCCGAUUGCGAAGGCAGCAUGCCGGCUUCCUACUGACGCUGAAGCACGAAAGCGUGGGGAUCGAACAGGAUUAGAUACCCCUGUAGUC